GAAAAAUCUAGUUAAAAAAUAACAAAAGAAUGUCAUUCUUUAAUUACAUCACUGUGAUUUUUAA
rnacentral:tRNA from 1 species